UACGUAGGGGGCUAGCGUUAUCCGGAAUUACUGGGCGUAAAGGGUGCGUAGGUGGUUUCUUAAGUCAGAGGUGAAAGGCUACGGCUCAACCGUAGUAAGCCUUUGAAACUGGGAAACUUGAGUGCAGGAGAGGAGAGUGGAAUUCCUAGUGUAGCGGUGAAAUGCGUAGAUAUUAGGAGGAACACCAGUUGCGAAGGCGGCUCUCUGGACUGUAACUGACACUGAGGUACGAAAGCGUGGGGAGCAAACAGGAUUAGAUACCCUGGUAGUCCCUGAGCGGG
rnacentral:rRNA from 1 species